GCCGUGGACUAUAUGUGGACUCAACGGCCUCGAUGACGCCUGGAGAUUGCUCUAACGUGCAUCGUUUCAAUGUCUUCACCCGGCCUCCGGAGCCGUGUGCGCAGGUUCGAAUCCUGCCGGGGGCA
rnacentral:tRNA from 1 species